rnacentral:rRNA from 1 species
UACAGGGGGUGCAAACGUUGCUCGGAAUUAUUGGGCGUAAAGCGCGCGUAGGCGGCUUUGCAAGUCGGGUGUGAAAUCCCCAGGCUUAACCUGGGAACUGCAUUCGAGACUGCAUUGCUAGAGUAUGGGAGAGGGAAGUGGAAUUCCGGUGUAGCGGUGGAAUGCGUAGAUAUCGGGAAGGAACAUCAGUGGCGAAAGCGACUUCCUGGACCAAUACUGACGCUCAUGUGCGAAAGCGUGGGGAGCAAACAGG